CCUACGGGAGGCUGCAGUGGGGAAUAUUGGACAAUGGGGGCAACCCUGAUCCAGCCAUGCCGCGUGUGUGAAGAAGGCCCUCGGGUUGUAAAGCACUUUCAGUGAGGAAGAACGCCUGGUGGUUAAUACCCAUCAGGAAAGACAUCACUCACAGAAGAAGCACCGGCUAACUCCGUGCCAGCAGCCGCGGUAAUACGGAGGGUGCGAGCGUUAAUCGGAAUUACUGGGCGUAAAGCGCGCGUAGGUGGCUUGAUAAGCCGGUUGUGAAAGCCCCGGGCUCAACCUGGGAACGGCAUCCGGAACUGUCGAGCUAGAGUGCAGGAGAGGAAGGUAGAAUUCCCGGUGUAGCGGUGAAAUGCGUAGAGAUCGGGAGGAACACCAGUGGCGAAGGCGGCCUUCUGGACUGACACUGACACUGAGGUGCGAAAGCGUGGGUAGCAAACAGGAUUAGAUACCCCGGUAGUC
rnacentral:rRNA from 1 species